GUAAUUUUUAUUUCCAUUUUCAUUUCUUAACAUGAUUGAUGAUAUUGAUACAUCUGAAUUAAGCACUUUUUGAGUUAAACUUCAUUGGUUUCUUGUUUAUACACAGUGAAACUUUGAAUUUACUGGUUAUUCACAAUCUUCAUCAAUUCCACAACAAACCGAUUCAGACAGACUCGGAAUACAGCUCUCCGAUCGAGUAAGCCCCAUGCUAAUAUCUCCCCUGUUCUUCGUGGGACUACUUGGCAUCGACCUUAUGAACUUGGGACUGUCUAAGCUUUUUCUUAAAACCUGUCUCAUGGCGGUGAUCAAAUGCCGGGUUGGGUCCGGCGGUGGCCCAGCCAACCUAAAUUUGUAGCAGAAGCUGAAAUGGCGAGCCAUGGCCUCUUCUGGGCUUAUUGAUUUUUGCUUAACUUCAUCGUUUACGGCCUCGGAACAGAGCCCACAAAUCCAUUUUCCCUUAUAACGCUCGCGUACUGUCUCUAUGUAGGACAGGGUGCAUUCCUCUGUCAAUCCACAGCAAUCGCAUUCGACAAAAUCAAGCUCAUUUUGUCCUGUAAUUUUCACCAUCGAAUCACCGAAUACACUCGUCGACAUGCCUGAAAAACCACAAAUUCACACAAACAUGAUGAAUCUAAACAUGGGUUUUUCAUGAAAUAAAAAACAGAAUUCUGCCAAGAAAUUACCUGAUCAAGAGGGAUAUCUACAAGUAAAUCCUGUUUAAUUUGGGUUUUCUUAUCUUUCCUUCUCCCAGUCGCCCACCUUGGCUUCCUCAGGAACGAAGAACGUGUGCAUGAAAGACAUUUCAGAAAACUGGAUACGAUGAUUUGGUAUAGAGAGAUUUUUGAAUAUGAAUGUGAAUCAAUCAAAUCAAAUCAAAUAAAUUUUAAAAAGAGAGAUCGAUUAAUGGAGGUAGAGUACACGUAAACAGUCGCUGGUAUGAAGUAAUUUGUAUAUUACUGUUAUUCGUCGACUCCGUGUUAUCUGCGUA
rnacentral:lncRNA from 1 species